GGUACCGUGGCCUAGGUGGCAAGGUACUUGUCUAGUAAAUGGGAGGUAGCGAGUUCGAAUCUCGCCGCGGCCU
rnacentral:tRNA from 1 species